GCCCGAGUGGCGGAACUGGUAGACGCACAGGACUUAAAAUCCUGAGGUCGCAAGGCCGUGCAGGUUCGAGUCCGGCCUCGGGCA
rnacentral:tRNA from 1 species